UCCCUGGUGGCUCAGAUGGUAAAGUGUCUCCCUAUGAUGCAGGAGACCCAGGUUCGAUUCCUGGGUGGGGAA
rnacentral:tRNA from 1 species